rnacentral:sRNA from 1 species
GCCAGGCAUGGUGGUGCAUGCCUGUAAUCCAGUGGCUCUGGAGGCUGAGGCAGGAGGAUGACAAUUUCAAGGCACCCUCAGCAAUUUCGGGAGGCCCAGAGCAACUUAGUGAGACCCUGUCUCAA